GAAUAUGAAGCGAUUUAUUGCAAUUAGUUUCGACCUAAUCUUAGGUUUCUAAAACCCUUAUUCU